GUUCAGUGGAAGCUGCAGUAGUGGAAGCAGUGGAGGCAGCCCAAGUGGUACUGCUGGUACUUAGUGUGGUAGGCAGUUCUGUUGUAGUGGUGGCUGCUGUGGUGGUAGCCUCAGUGGUACUACUGGUAGUUGGUGUGGUAGUCUGUUCAGUUGAAGUACUGGCUAUGGCUGUGGUAACCUCAGUGGUAGUGCCAGAAGUUGGUGUGGUAGGCAGUUCUGUUGUAGUGGUGGCUGCUGUGGUGGUAUCCUCAGUGGUAGUACUGGUAGUUUGUGUGGUAGUCUGUUCAGUUGAAGUACUGGCUAUUGUUGUGGUAGCCUCAGUGGUAGUGCCAGAAGUUGGUGUGGUAGUCUGUUCCAUUGAAGUGGUGGCUGUUGUGGUUGUAGCCUCAGUGGUAGUGCUGGCAGUUGGUGUAGUAGUUUGUUCAGUUGAAGUGGUGACUGUUGUGGUUGUAGCCUCAGUGGUAGUGCUGGCAGUAGGUGUGGUACUCUGUUCCAUGGAAGUGGUGGCUGUUGUGGUUGUAGCCUCAGUGGUAGUGCUGGAAGUUGGUGUAG
rnacentral:lncRNA from 1 species